UUGCUAGACUUCCUGUGUUCCUGUUUGCUCCUCGAGCAAGCAACACUUUAUUUGUGGAUGAUGGUAAGCAGCUAGUUAUUGGAGCAUGUGCAGAAUGUAGACUGUUUGUAUUGGCUGGACAGAAUGCAAAACAAGAUCACUUAUUGGAUGCUAAAGAAACACCUAUUAGCCAGCAAAAGGCUCCACAUUUGUCAUGGAUUUACCAGGAUGGUACUGGGAACAAGAGUUGUAGUCCUGCCCAAAGGAAUGCUGUGAAGGCUGUUGCCUCUUUGUCUUUCUCUGAAAUACCUGCUGCAGAACAUAAGCCUACAUUUUCCAGCUGUUAUCAGAAAAGUGAAGAACAGCUGGAAAGAAUAAAAGAGACCAUAUCAGAAAACACGGCUGAGAAUUCUAUCCAAUCUACUGUGGAUGUAGAAAACUUGGAACAACCAAC